UCUUUCAAUGUUUUACUUUUUUCUCAUCUCUCUUUUUGGCCAUUUUCAAACUUCACCGACACUGUGGCCUCCUUUCAUUCUUCUCCACUUUCUCUGUUUUUUUUAGUCAUUCCUCUUUAUUCCCUCCUCAAGUCUCCCCCUGCAGCUCCAUUACCUUCAGUCUCUCUCUGCUUUAGACAUAUCUUUAGUCACUUUACUUUUUUAAACCUUUUUCGUGCGUUUCUUUCUGUGUUACUCUUAUAUUUUGUUAAAUUUAUCCUUCCACAUACAUUUUUCUUCCAUCUUCAUUUUCCUCUCCUCUCACUCUCUUCCUGACUUCUCUUUUAGCAUUUAGCUCUUUAACCCCCUCCUUUGUCUUUCUCCAUCAUCUCCUCUUCCUCUCUUGUUCUCUCUCUGUUUUUAUUAUUUUCCCCUGCGUCACAGAAGAGAUUUCAUUGACCAUUAUGAAUAACCCAAAAGUUUGUGAUUCGUGGCUUUGGUGGGACCGUCUGGUGGGUGUGUUUUUGCAUUUCAGUAUGAAUAGUGGGAGUUGUGUCUUGAUGUGUGUAAUUAGGGUAAAUUAAUCUGUGUGUUUUGUUCAUGAGAGAAGAAAAAAGAAAGGAGAAGAAUGUGAUGGAAGGAGAAGAAAAUAACGAGAUGAGGUCUUGGCUCGCUGCUAUUCUUGUUGAUUCAGGCCGUGGAAAAACUCAUCUGACAGCCAGUAGUGUCCAUUUAUGUGUUUUGCGUGUGUGUGUGUGUGUGUGUAUAUGCUUCUGCCUUACAGUGGGAAUGGAUAACGGGUUUGACAGCCCAUUGUCUCCCUCAGGGUAGAGACUGUGGUUCAAUGAGUCAGUCUCAUAUGCACUCACGUUACAUCGAGAUGCUCUGAUUUAUGCACACACACACACACUCAAAUGUACAGUAAUCACUCAUGCACACACACCACACACAUUGUUAAGCAUACAUGUGCCUUUACACACAAAAUUCAUUCCUGCACACAUGGGCGGACAUGUGGAUGCAUGCAUGCUGUAAAUCCAAAACAACCCAACACCCCCUGCAGCACACACGCACACACUUCACACUCUUUGUUAGUGUGACUGUGUUUUACAGCUGAUUUGCAGGCUAAACCCCAGCCAGCCCAUUCACUUCCAUGUCAUGGUACAGCUGUACCAUUCCUAGUGUUCCUGUCUGUCCCUUGUUAGUCUCCUUGUGUGUGUGUGUGUGUGUAUGCUGUGGGGCGCGGCCUCCGAGGUACUGCCAAUCAGCAACUGACACACCUGCGAACCAUCUACUGCUGCUCACCUGUUCUCCAUCCACAAUCACACAUGACAGUAUAUCUACCUGGCUCUUCUCACCAGUCUUCGCCAGAUCGUCCGUUUACCUCAGUGGUAUAACUCUUCGGCUCUUGUCUACCCCUCUAAGAAAUUACCUGCAUGAUAUCAGAACGCCUGAUUAACUUGUUUAACUCCCUGUGCCCCGGGCACCAGUGCUCACCCCUCCUCUCCGCAUUCCAGGAGAAGGGACUGGUAUGCGCUGGCUGACCAUCCCAUUCCGCCCUUCACAUCGCUACUAGGGGAACCUAUGCAGCUUGGCCAAGCUCGUCUCUCUCUGGCAGAACACACCGAAUCACAGAGAUCGCUGUCCUCUCAGUGCAACACCAACUGUGCCGCUGCCGCAAGAUCUGGAGGGAUACCCGUGCUGCCCUACUCCGGUCCUCUGCCAACAACCAGCGCAUUCCGGACCGCCACCGGACACCAGCUCCUGAAUACUCUCUAGGUCAGAAGGUUUGGUUAUCCUCCAGAAAUAUUCCACUCAAAACUGACUCCAGAAAACCGGCCCCCCGGUUCAUUGGUCCUUAUGAGGUGGAGGAGAUCAUCAAUCCCUCAGCUAUUAAAUUAAAGCUCCCUCGUAACAUGAAGAUCCACCCCACAUUCCAUGUUUCUCAAGUCAAACCUGUAUCUUCCAGUCCUUUGGGCCCGCCUCACGGCUCCUCUCCACCCGCCCGGAUCAUCAAUGACAAUCCUGCCUACACGGUCCGAUGGCUACUGGACGUGCGCCGUUGAGGCAGGGGUCUCCAGUAUCUUGUGGACUGAGAGGGAGUACCCCGUUGAGGGGGGGUACUGUCAUGGUACGGCUGUACCAUUCCUAGUGUUCCUGUCUCUGUCCCCUGUUUAGUCUCCUUGUGUGUGUGUGUGUAUGCUGUGGGGCGCGGACUCCGAGGUACUGCCAAUCAGCAACUGACACACCUGCAAACCAUCUACUGCUGCUCACCUGUUCUCCAUCCACAAUCACACCUGACAGUAUAUCUAUCCGGCUCUUCUCACCAGUCUUCGCCAGAUCGUCCGUUUACUUCAGUGGUUCGUGUCACCUGCCUCUGCGUUGCCUACCGGCUUUCCAGGAGGACACUACAGCUCUCACCUGCCUUGCCUCGGACCGCAUUCCUGCCUCAGCCUGCCUGCUCUUCUCAGCCUUGUGGCGGUCUGCUGUCUGCCUCCAGUCUUCCAGCUUCCAGCCUUACCUCCACGCUCCUUGUUCCUCAUUAUCUGUUCUUCUAAAUAAACAGAACCUGCUACUGCA